UCACAAGGAGACUCUGGUACCUGCAGUGGGAAACUGAAUUGGUUCCUCAAAGUGUGAUUUCACGUCAGUAACUGCCAACACUGGCUGCUGCUGCUGCUGUGCCGGUCAGUCAGCUCUUUUCAAAGCCAUUAGAUUGAGAGGUAAUGAGGUGAAUUUUCAGGAUUGCUCAUUUUGACUGAGUGCUUGUGAAAUUUUGAUAUAGAGGAAGAAACAAAGAGAAUAAAGUGAUGGUGGUGACAUAUGAUCAGCAGCUAGAGACUGGAGAAACAUACUAGAAGAAGCACAACAAAUUUUAUUAAGGUGUUUAUCUAGGUAGUUGCCAAUCUGAGAAAAGGGAGAUGAUUUCUGUCCCUGGAUUACUUGGCAGGACUUCUGACAGUAGGGGACAGGAAGGAAAGGCAUGGAGAAGAUCCCCGGCCCAGGGAAGGAGUGCAUCGCCCAGGGAGAUUUGUUGUCCUAUCCCUGCUCUGGAGAAGUAGCAUCAACAUUUCCUGUUCAGAUGCCCAGCAAAUGGAGAGUGGCUCGAGAAUACUUCAGGGUGUGAAGAGAGCCAUCAGUCUUUUCCGCAAAGAGUUUAGUGCCUUCAAAGGGAAGAUUUUUGAUCGUCAACUGUACCUCCUUCUGGAAGCUCGAGAGAUGGAGCCAUGAUGCAUGUCGCAUCACCACUGCCAUGGAGAUGGAACUAGCUGAUGUACUGGCUGCAUCGAGAGCAGAUUGUAGCGUUGUUUUUGCUACUGACAGUCCCUCCUAAAUAAUGCCCUUGAAUUGGUUGCAAUGUGACUCAGGC